rnacentral:rRNA from 1 species
GAUGAACGCUGGCGGCGUGCCUAAUACAUGCAAGUCGAGCGAACGGACGAGAAGCUUGCUUCUCUGAUGUUAGCGGCGGACGGGUGAGUAACACGUGGAUAACCUACCUAUAAGACUGGGAUAACUUCGGGAAACCGGAGCUAAUACCGGAUAAUAUUUUGAACCGCAUGGUUCAAAAGUGAAAGACGGUCUUGCUGUCACUUAUAGAUGGAUCCGCGCUGCAUUAGCUAGUUGGUAGGGUAACGGCUUACCAAGGCAACGAUGCAUAGCCGACCUGAGAGGGUGGUCGGCCACACUGGAACUGAGACACGGUCCAGACUCCUACGGGAGGCAGCAGUAGGGAAUCUUCCGCAAUGGGCGAAAGCCUGACGGAGCAACGCCGCGUGAGUGAUGGAGGUCUACGGAUCGUAAAACUCUGUUAUUAGGGAAGAACAUAUGUGUAAGUAACUGUGCACAUCUUGACGGUACCUAAUCAGAAAGCCACGGCUAACUACGUG